rnacentral:rRNA from 1 species
AGGACGAACGCUGGCGGCGUGCUUAACACAUGCAAGUCGAGCGGAAAGGCCCUUCGGGGUACUCGAGCGGCGAACGGGUGAGUAACACGUGAGUAAUCUGCCCCUAGCUCUGGGAUAGCUCCGGGAAACCGGGAUUAAUACCGGAUACGACCACCUUAGACAUCUUUUGUGGUGGAAAGAAUUUCGGCUAGGGAUGAGCUCGCGGCCUAUCAGCUUGUUGGUGGGGUAACGGCCUACCAAGGCGACGACGGGUAGCCGGCCUGAGAGGGCGACCGGCCACACUGGGACUGAGACACGGCCCAGACUCCUACGGGAGGCAGCAGUGGGGAAUAUUGCGCAAUGGGCGAAAGCCUGACGCAGCGACGCCGCGUGGGGGAUGAAGGCCUUCGGGUUGUAAACCCCUUUCAGCAGGGACGAAGCGAAAGUGACGGUACCUGCAGAAGAAGCGCGGCUAACUACGUGCCAGCAGCCGC